GUAUGUGUGGUGUAAUGGUUUGAACAUUGGACUACAAGUCUAGAGACCAGAGUUUGAAUCCAUGCACAUCCC